rnacentral:lncRNA from 1 species
AUAAAAAUAUCUAUCUUCAGAGGAAAGUAACGCUGUAUCAUACAUAGCUUGUUGAUUCGACACUGUCAUCAUGUGUAAGAUAUUUUGAAAACGUAUCCUCCAGAACUUCACAGCAUCAUUUUUGAACAUGUUGCAUAUGUUUGUUAUUUUUUAUUUUUUUUUUCAGUUUUUCAAGUUUCACUUUUUUCGAAUAUGUUCUACCACUGACAUAGGAUCCGGUUUUGAAUAUGUUCCAUGUUAGAUAUGAUUGAUGAUACAAAUGGGAACAACUACGUACAAAACUCUUGCAAUCCACUUUAAUUUUAAACAACGUUGCUAAUAAUUAUUUUUCAAUACAUUUUAAUGUUCCGAUGGACAAAAGUACAGAAUGGUGUUAAAAAAUUAAUGGGUGAAGAGCAAAAUAUAAAUAUGAAACAUACCUUUAGCAUCAUAUGCAUGGUACGACUCCAACAUCAUUCAUUCGAUUAAGGGGACAGUACGCAGCAUAAUGGAAGUGUGCACUCGUCUUUAGUGAAAAAAUAUAAGUGCAUAAUACCAGAAAAAAAGUACAAAAGUUUAAUUUACAAUGCCUUUUACUUUAAAUUAAUGCAUGAACAUCAAUUGAACUAUUGCUGGUGACUGUUGUCACCAGUUGAAAAUAUCAAUAUCAAAAUACUGGGUUAAUGCAACUUCUAAGUUAUUAGUUCUGCACAAGCAUAAAGAAAUUCAAUUAUAGCGCUAUGGAAGACGUAAAAGUACAAAACAAAUUCAAGAAGAAAGAUGACUAGCAUUCCAGUUCAUAGGUGAUUAGAUCCAAACAAUGUAAUAACACAUUACCAACUAUCUAUCUUAAAAACAAUUAAGCGUAAUGUGUUAUCUUACCAUUCUUUAUACAUUGCUUAAUAGGAGUUUUAUUCAACGCUGUAUUCUUU